UGGUCUGAGUGGGAAAAUUUGGGGCUGA
rnacentral:piRNA from 1 species